AUUGAACAGAAGUGUCCCAAAUAGGACGAAAUGCGCAUCCUGUAU
rnacentral:hammerhead_ribozyme from 1 species